GCAGGCUCCAUGCAGGGAGCCCGAUGUGGGACUCGAUCCCGGGGCCACAGGAUCAAAGACAGAUGCUCAACUGCUGAGCCACCCAGGCGUCCCAUUCACCUGCUCAUUCUAAUGACCCACUGACCCACUUUGCAGAUGGAAAAACCCAGGCGCCAGAAGGUGAAGUGUCCUGCUCGAAACUGUGCAGCUAGGAAACCGAGGCACAGGGAGGUUCAGUGCCUUGCCUUAGAUCACACAGCAAGUUACGUGAACCUGUGUGUGAGAGGGAGCCUGAGGAGGGUAGGGGGGUCGCAGACCCGCUGUGAGCCCCACCUAGGGCCGCCACAGCAGUUAAUGGUCAAGUUCAACCUUUCGCACUUGGCCGCGAGAGGGCGCCAGCGAGCCUCCAGCCGGGCUGAGGAGCGCUCGGCCCCCUCCCGCAGGAAUGCGGGUGGCGGAGGGAGGGGACGUUGGCUGCGAGCCCAGAGCAGCUGCUACCGCCGCUCAGAUCCCGCCCGCCUUCCCCUCCCUGGGACCCUGGGUUUGCUGCAAGGAGGCCAGGGCGGGAGGGACGGCUUUGCAGGGAUGGGUGGCCUGUUUUCGCUUUCUCCUUAUCCAGGCUUCCAGCCCAAAGCUUCCCGGGAAAGGCCGGGCAGGAUCCAGGAUCCAGGAGGCAGAGAAUAAUACCCAUAGCAACAUUUCAGGGAAUGGCUGUCAUUUAUGAAACACUUGAGCUCUGACACUUAGUAGGGACUUACUCGCCAGCAGCCCUUCCGUUUUCCAGAACCGACAGCCUGAUCAGGAAAAAACAUCCAGAAACAAGCAGCUAUGACGGUCCAGAGAAACCUAUCAUAACCCAUUCAGCCUGUGGAGUCAAAGAAGGCAUCUUGGAGGAAGUAGUAUUUAGGCUGUGACCUGAAAGUCUCAGGAAAGAAAAGACUGGAGAGAGCCCAAAGAUUCAUCAGCACAGGACCAGUUGCAGAAAUUAUUGUCCAUCUACACAACGGAAUAUAUUGCAGCUGUGCAAAAGAAUGAGGAUGUCUGCUUGGGAUGAUAUGAAAACACUUCCAAGACAUAUUAUUCAAGGAAAGAACUAAAGUUCACAUUUCGGUGUAUAUAGUAUGCUGCUUUUUUGGGAAAAGUUAAAUAUAUAUGUAUACACACAUAUGUAUUCUAUUUUCUCAUCAAAAUACUCCAUAUUUAUUUUUUAUUAUUUAUUUAUUUUUUUCAUAUUUAUUUUUUAAAUUGUGGUAAAAUCUGAGCAUUAAACUUACCAUUUUAACCAUUUUCAAGUGUACAGUUAAAUGGUACCAAGCACAUUUGCAUCACUGUUCAGCCAUCCCCACCGAUCAUCUCUAGAAUGUCCCAUCUUCCCAAACUGAACCUCUGUCCCUGUUAAGCACUAACUUCCCAUUUCCACCUGCCCAGCCUCUUUUAACCAUUGUUUUAUUUUUUGUCUAUGAAUUUGCAUAUU